rnacentral:misc_RNA from 1 species
AUUGGACUCGAAAGAUGGGAGCGGCAGAGAAGAGUUUUGAUAUGGAAGAGGGAACUCUAGAGAUUGGAAUGGAGUAUAGAACUGUCUCUGGUGUUGCCGGGCCACUGGUUAUUCUCGACAAAGUCAAGGGUCCAAAAUACCAGGAGAUUGUCAAUAUUCGCUUGGGAGAUGGAACGACUCGGCGUGGCCAGGUCUUAGAAGUUGAUGGGGAGAAAGCUGUCGUGCAGGUGUAUUGUUUUCUGCUGUUGUAAGCUUGUGUGUUUGUGUGUGCCUACCAGGCUAAAGUUAUUUGUCAUUUAUCAUGUGUUUCGCCUCACUGCAUUUCAUUGCUUUAGCUGUCUCAAUUUUUUUUUUGAAUAGUAUUUCUGUCCGGUUAUCAAGAAAGCCCUAGAAGCGUUGGAGGAGCUGCCCCUCCUUAUUUUCUUCCUUUGCUUUGAUAUAAAAAUCAAUUGUUAAUUGAACAUGAUUUCAAUGAGUAUAACUAAUUUAACAUUUAGUUUUCUCUUGUUUUAUUCUCAAAUUUCAAUUGAUCGAGUAUAAUUUGCACCUAGAUCAUGGGCUUCUCUCUAAACUUAUUUGGUUAAUAGAGUGUGGCCUGAGCAAGGUGCAUAAAGAAUUGAGGAAAGUAAAGAGAACUGAAAAGAUGGGAUUCACUAGCGACCAGUGGAUGAUGCGAUUUAGUGUUGCUUUUCCCCCCUUCUGAUUCCAUCUCACGCUUAUAUUCUCUCUUUUCCUCUAAUAUUGGUUUUUUUUUCUAUUUUUCUCUUUGGCUGUUAUUUUUAAUUUUUAUCUUACACUUGGAUCUGGGCCGGCUAUAUUUCUGGUUCUGCAGCCUUGAGUGGAGGAGCAUAAAUCAAUAGCAGUUAAUUAGCAGCAUACUCAUUUCAUUUAGAAUCAAGUUCAUUCUCUUCAUAAUUUGUGUCCACAUAUUUCAUAUUUGACGUAGAGUCAAAGAUCACUCUUUAGAUGCUUUUACAUAGAACCAAGUGUGGAUUUUUAUGUUGAUUUCUUUUUUUGUUGUGCAAUUGCAAAAUACAACACCUAGACUUUCAGUGUGGCUUAUAUCUAUUUGUUUGAUUGAAGGCUGCUGCUCAACAAGCUUUCAGAAACUUUAGAGUCUAGACCAUUAGAAUUGAUUAGUCCUAUGAUUUAAUUUUAAUGUCAACAAUCGGGUUCUGUUUUUCCCGUUUUGCAGGUUUUUGAAGGAACAUCUGGUAUUGACAACAAAUACACAACUGUGCAAUUCACAGGAGAGGUUUUGAAAACUCCUGUAUCAUUGGAUAUGCUUGGUCGCAUAUUUAAUGGUUCUGGAAAACCCAUUGAUAAUGGUCCUCCAAUUUUGCCUGAGGCUUACUUGGACAUUUCUGGGAGUUCUAUUAAUCCCAGUGAGAGAACCUAUCCCGAAGAGAUGAUACAGACUGGGAUUUCAACAAUUGAUGUCAUGAAUUCCAUUGCUCGUGGUCAGAAGAUUCCACUUUUUUCUGCUGCUGGUCUUCCUCACAAUGAAAUAGCUGCGCAGAUCUGUCGCCAGGCUGGUCUUGUAAAGAGGCUUGAAAAAUCUGGAAAUCUCUUGGAGGUAUGUUAUGCCUUCUAGUGCUGUAAGUGAUGAUUCUGGAAUUCAGAAGUAUGCUUGAGGAGGUCAGUUAUUCUUAUUUGUUUGGUUAGAAGCGAGUUUCAUAUGUUUUUAUGGAUCUCAUUCACUUGACCUCAAUGUAAUUGUUUCUUUAUUAAUGUAUUGUCAGAAUUGCUCCUUACCAACUGUUCAUGUCCAAUUAUUUAUUCUACAUUUUCAGUUCCACAUAAUUCAUCAGGUUGAUUAUCAUUCUAAGGGGAUGUGACUUUUAAGAUACAAUUUUGUUCAGAAUUGUCCUCUUAGUUGGAAAAUUGAGCUUGAAGGAAAAGAAAUUAUUGUAGUUUGGAUAAAAGUUAUUCAAAUUGCAUUAUUUAAUAUGCUUUUGCCUUAUUUGAGAUGUGGACAUUAGUUACUUUUUCUUUGCCUUAUUUGUAGUUCUUUUUAGUGAAUUUGAGAAACACAUAAUUGUUUUACCCUGUGCCAUGACUUUUUCUGUAGGAUGUGGAAGAGGACAAUUUUGCCAUCGUAUUUGCUGCUAUGGGUGUAAACAUGGAGACAGCCCAAUUUUUCAAG